UACGUAGGGUGCGAGCGUUGUCCGGAAUUAUUGGGCGUAAAGAGCUCGUAGGCGGUCUGUCGCGUCGGUCGUGAAAACCUGCAGCUUAACUGUGGGCGUGCGGUCGAUACGGGCAUCACUGGAGUUCGGCAGGGGAGACUGGAAUUCCUGGUGUAGCGGUGGAAUGCGCAGAUAUCAGGAGGAACACCCGUGGCGAAGGCGGUUCUCUGGGACGGUACUGACGCUGAGACGCGAAAGCGUGGGGAGCGAACAGG
rnacentral:rRNA from 1 species